CUCCAACGUCUUUUUUUCUAAUCCUUUUGCCCCAAAACACUAACACCAUCCAUUUAUUUUUAUGGGCCAAAAGGGUUAGAAAAAAUGACGUUGGG
rnacentral:miRNA from 1 species